rnacentral:rRNA from 1 species
CCUACGUGAGGCAGCAGUGGGGGAUAUUGGACAAUGGGGGGAACCCUGAUCCAGCGACGCCGCGUGAGUGAAGAAGUAUUUCGGUAUGUAAAGCUCUGUCAGCAGGGAAGAAAGAAAUGACGGUACCUGACCAAGAAGCCCCGGCUAACGACGUGCCAGCAGCCUCGGCAAAACGUAGGGGGCAAGCGUUAUCCGGAAUUACUGGGUGUAAAGGGAGCGUAGACGGCGAGACAAGUCUGGAGUGAAAGGCCGGGGCCCAACCCCGGGUCUGCUCUGGAAACUGCCUGGCUGGAGUACAGGAGAGGUAAGUGGAAUUCCUGGUGUAGCGGUGAAAUGCGUAGAUAUUAGGAGGAACACCAGUGGCGAAGGCGGCUUACUGGACUGUAACUGACGUUGAGGCUCGAAAGCGUGGGGAGCAAACAGGAUUAGAUACCCGAGUAGUC